AGUGAACGCUGGCGGUAGGCCUAAUACAUGCAAGUCGAGCGGACGCACGGUAAGCUCUUGCCUUUGAGGUUGGCGGCGGGCGGAUGGGUAACACAUAGAUCGCCAUCUUAUAUUUCUUGGGGGAUUUCGUGGGGCCACUUCUGAUACCACCGGAUAUGAUCUACGGGUUAGAUCAAGGGUUCUUGGCAGCUUUCCUGUCUCUAUUAGAUGAUGUCGGAGUAGCUAGUUGGCGGGGUAAAGUCCCGCCAAGGCGACGAUCCGUAGCAGGUCUGACAGGAUGAUCAGCCACACUGGAACUGAGACACGGUCCAGACUCCUACGGGAGGCAGCAGUGGGGAAUAUUGGACAAUGGGCGCAAGCCUGAUCCAGCCAUACCGCGUGGGUGAAGAAGGCCUUCGGGUUGUAAAGCCCUUUUGUUGGGAAAGAAAAGCAGCAGGUUAAUACCCCGCUGUUCUGACGGUACCCAAAGAAUAAGCACCGGCUAACUUCGUG
rnacentral:rRNA from 1 species